rnacentral:lncRNA from 1 species
GAAAAUAGAAUCAAUCACUCUUUUCAUAUUGUGAAUUUCUUAUAUUCGGGUUUUUAUACCUAUUCUGGAGUACAAUUGAGAGUUCUAGAAAAAUCAUUCGUGAUUGCUGCAUAAGUGGUUUACGAUCGUUGUAUCCUGGGAGUGAUUGUCCACGGAGGUCACAGCAAUUAUUGACGGGCAAUUUCACUUUAGGACAUCGUGCUGUCACGAGACUCGAUCGAUAAGUUUUAUAUUUCUGCAUUAUAUUGUUCUGAUCACUGCUGCAACUAAUUAUUUUUCCAACA